AUUGAACGCUGGCGGCAGGCCUAACACAUGCCAGUCGAGCGGAUGAAGGGAGCUUGCUCCUGGAUUCAGCGGCGGACGGGUGAGUAAUGCCUAGGAAUCUGCCUGGUAGUGGGGGAUAACGUCCGGAAACGGGCGCUAAUACCGCAUACGUCCUGAGGGAGAAAGUGGGGGAUCUUCGGACCUCACGCUAUCAGAUGAGCCUAGGUCGGAUUAGCUAGUUGGUGGGGUAAAGGCCUACCAAGGCGACGAUCCGUAACUGGUCUGAGAGGAUGAUCAGUCACACUGGAACUGAGACACGGUCCAGACUCCUACGGGAGGCAGCAGUGGGGAAUAUUGGACAAUGGGCGAAAGCCUGAUCCAGCCAUGCCGCGUGUGUGAAGAAGGUCUUCGGAUUGCAAAGCACUUUAAGUUGGGAGGAAGGGCAGCAAGUUAAUACCUUGCUGUUUUGACGUUACCAACAGAAUAAGCACCGGCUAACUUCGUG
rnacentral:rRNA from 1 species